AUCACUUCUUGGCCUUUUGGCUAAGAUCAAGUGUAGUAUCUGUUCUUAUCCGUUAACAAAGGAGAACUGGGCCAGAGCAGUAAGUCAUAGCCCUGAUCCUGAACCACU
rfam:Myotis davidii contig9632, whole genome shotgun sequence.